rnacentral:rRNA from 1 species
CAGCCGUAAACGAUGCGCGUUAGGUGUAUCGACGACCACGAGUCGUCGAGGUGCCGAAGGGAAACCGUGAAACGUGCCGCCUGGGAAGUACGGUCGCAAGGCUGAAACUUAAAGGAAUUGGCGGGGGAGCACCGCAACGGGAGGAGCGUGCGGUUUAAUUGGAUUCAACACCGUAAAACUCACCAGGGAAGACUGUUACAUGAAAGCCGAGAUGAAGACUCUGCUAGAUUUUCAGAGAGGUGGUGCAUGGCGUCAGUGACU